AAACGUAAAUACAUUAACGUAUAAAAGAGUAUAGUGUAUUUCUAUUUCAAAAAGAUCAUAAUGAUUUGGGGUCGUUUUAUCUGCUGUUUGAAAGGAUUUAGCUAAACCUGCCAAGAAAUUUAUGCAAAAGGAAACGAUCUCAAAUAUGAGAUCGUUUCUUAUUACCUAUUUCUUUAUUUUUUGAUUUGUUCUUUAUAUUGCGCAAAUUCUUUUUCAGAGCAGUAAACAAAAUGGCCCGGACUUAUUUCGCGCAUUUCGAGCUGUUCACCUUCAGCAUAAUUAUGCACUCUUGGAUCAUAUGGUAUUCUUCUGCGCGUUCUUUCAGUUUCCGGAUCUGGAAGAGGGAUCGCAGAUAAUAGUGACUUCGUGUAUGGGUGCAUCGGAUUUUUAUAAAGGUCAUCUGCCGGUGCAAGUUCCACUAACUUUCCAAAGUACAUAACACCAAUGCGAUCACUUAUAUAUUUUACCAUAGACAGAUCGUGGGCAAUAAAUAAGUAUGUUAAUCCUUUUUCACGCUGAAGCUUUUUCAACAAGUUAACAACCUGUGCUUGAAUUGAAACGUCCAGCGCAGAAAUCGGCUCAUCUGCAAUAAUAAAUUCCGGUUCCACAGCAAGAGCACGUGCAAUUCCAAUACGCUGCCUUUGUCCUCCCGAAAAUUCAUGCGGAU
rnacentral:antisense_RNA from 1 species